rnacentral:rRNA from 1 species
GAUGAACGCUGGCGGCGUGCCUAAUACAUGCAAGUCGAGCGAACAGACGAGGAGCUUGCUCCUCUGACGUUAGCGGCGGACGGGUGAGUAACACGUGGAUAACCUACCUAUAAGACUGGGAUAACUUCGGGAAACCGGAGCUAAUACCGGAUAAUAUAUUGAACCGCAUGGUUCAAUAGUGAAAGACGGUUUUGCUGUCACUUAUAGAUGGAUCCGCGCCGCAUUAGCUAGUUGGUAAGGUAACGGCUUACCAAGGCAACGAUGCGUAGCCGACCUGAGAGGGUGAUCGGCCACACUGGAACUGAGACACAGUCCAGACUCCGACGGGAGGCAGCAGUAGGGAAUCUUCCGCGAUGGGCGAAAGCCUGACGGAGCAACGCCGCGUGAGUGAUGAAGGUCUUCGGAUCGUAAAGCUCUGUUAUUAGGGGAGAACAAAUGUGUAAGUAACUAUGCACAUCUUGACGGUACCUGAUCAGAAAGCCACGGCUAACUACGUG